rnacentral:sRNA from 1 species
UAUUCUGCCCUACGGGGAAGGAUGAGAAGCUUCGACUAAGGUUCGACUCGAGCGUCAGUGAGAGAACGUUGCCGCAGGCAACGGCCCGAAGGGCGAGGCGCUUUAGCGCCGAGUAAUCCUUCCCCCACCACCA